GCAGAUAUGGCGGAACUGGCAGACGCGCGGGACUUAGAAUCCCGUGGUUCACCGUGCAGGUUCGACUCCUGUUAUCUGCACCA
rnacentral:tRNA from 1 species